AGUAGCCUUUGUGACAUUACGCUUUUCGCUGCGUAAAAUUUGUAAACGUGUUGUUAACAAAUCUUUUUUGAAGCUGAUGAGUUGAGGACCACUUGCAGCCACGAGAAGCUGCUCUGGAACGAACUAGACUACAUAGGCGACAAGGACAGAGCCCAUCAACGGCCUCGGUGGUCCUGACGUCACGAAAUCACGACGUUGACCUUGAAGAGAUAACGCACUGGAAUAGUACCGAGUGUCGACCGCACUACCGGGUGUUUCACAACGAGGACGCCAGGUCUGCAGCCUAGAGGCCGCGGAUUGUAGAACCACGUAUGUGCAUACUUGGAUGUAUUUGUG